rnacentral:lncRNA from 10 species
AGUCCCUGGGCCGCUGCGAGGGCUGGAGGAGCUACUCAAAGACGCCCGCUAAAUGUUAACAGCGCUCAACACUGCUGCUUCAAACGCCUCCCCGGCCUUGUCAGCUUGACACGCGCGGCGGGUCGGAGGCUCACUGGACCAGAAACUUGUCUGGCAGGACGGACUGGUUGGCCCCGCGGCAUUCCAGCCCAGUGUCAUCACCUUGAAAACAGGAGAUGCUUUUGCCUCACUGGGCGUCCAGAGGUGCGUCGGCCAACAAUUCCGAUCACAACCGCAGCGCCGUCUCCCAGAAACUCAGUACUGAAUCUCACAAAGGUCACCACCUAGGAUCCCAACACAGUGUGAGAUGCUAUGGGACGCCGUUGCCCUCCAGCUAGUCUCUGAGCAGUGGUGGACCUUGGGCUGCCAAAGCGGGAACAGGAAGGGCACAAGAUCUGCAUUAAUUCUAGUCUUAAUCCUGUUAGAAGGUGAUUAGUUUUCUUGACAUGUAUCCGCCACCCGGUCAUUACUGACAAGCUAACAAAUGAAAAAAAGAGAGAAACAAAGAGAAAAAAGAAAAAAGGCGGGCCUUCACACAGGACAAGGUUCAGGAGAGCACCCUUAUAGAAAUAGAUCAACUAUGUAAAUUCCUCAAGGUCUUUACUGACACGGUAAAAGUAAGUAAAGUGUUGAAAAUUUACUAACAAAUGAGCAAAACCAAAAGUCAAAUUAGGAUGCAUUGAAAAGCAGAACACAAAGACAUCAUUUUACCUCACCAAACAGAUCUUUGAAGCUGUGCGGUUAGUUUGGGUUGCACGUUUUCAAAAGGAUGUCGAGAAACCAUAAUUUGUUCCUUAUGGGGUGGAUAACUGAAAUGACAGAGAAGAUUUGAAAAUAAGUCCCUACUGAACAGAGAACUAUGGGGUGACUACAUUAAUAAAUUGUCCAAUUGUUUGGAGGAUCGGAAAUGAAGGAGUGCUUGAUAGUGAAGAAGAUAAUCAGAAUAAUGGCUGAAGCCAGUAGUAGGGUUUCCAUCUCUGGCUACUACCCUACCCUGCAUAAAGGAUUAGAAGUGCUCCAUUCUAACUCUCUGGAAGUCAAGAAGCCUGAGUUCUAGUGCUGCCAAUGCCACUAAUUGCAUGGCCUUGGUAAGUUAUUAACCCUCAGUGUCCUCAGCUGUAAACGGAUAGUAAGGAUGGCCUCUGUGGUCCCUUUUAGCUCUUAGACGAUCAGAAUCCAGCCUUUGCUUUCCCCCAUGGUCCAAGAAAAGGAGACCUACUACACAAGGUACCUGAACAACUUCCUGUUUCCCCUUUGCCUAGUCCUCUCAUGGCCUCUUUGACUUUUUCCCUUUGCUGCAGGAGGAAAAAAGAGAGUGAGAGGAGUGACAGAGGGGAACAACAGAGGACAGUAGUGCGUGAUAGAAGAAACAGUAUUCCCCAACCCAGGAAAAGUGGGACCAAUGCAAAGACUGCCAAAAUAGAAUGUGAGGUUCUACUUACCUCACCUUCCUUAAGCUCUGCUCCUUCUUGUGUUUUAGCUAAGAGAGCAAUUUCUUUCAAUCUUCUUCAUUAUAGCUAUUACCACUAGUUGAGUGAAUAGACUGAGUCCAGACAGCAGAAACUGGCUUAUUCAUCUUUACAGGUCUAGCUCUUUCCACAGUGCCAAAAACCACCCUUCUAUAGGUAACAAUGUUUGCUGAAGAGGUGAAUGAAGAAAUGAUGGGAUGGCAAAGGUAUAGCACAACAAGGGAAAUUUAUACAGUCAUAUGUUGUUUAACA